AGGAGAUCCAGGCCACAAUCGUAGCUUGAAACUACGAAUAAGGACGUUCGACUCGUCUACCUCCUU
rnacentral:tRNA from 1 species